CUGAAGGCGGAGGCAUCGGGGUCUCAGAAGGAGGGGGGGGGGUGAAGGAGUUCUCGUGGACUUCUUCCUCUGCAGCGCGCGCUCUCUGCGGGGCUCACUUCUCUGUGAACCGGGUCCGAGGUCUCAGCAGAGCGGGUCUGUCGUGUGGAGUCCUGCAGAGUCCGGAGUCCUUGUUCCAAGACCCCCCUCUCAGCUGGGCAGGAGGUCUCCGAGGCACACACGCUGACGCGCGUGCAGAAUAGCUGUGCUCUGAUUGGCCGAGGUGUUUUGGGGGACUUGAGGUACUUCAUUGACUCCACGGCGUCAUGAGGGGUUCCCAUAGCAACAGAGGAGGCUUCAGCCAUCCACGAGGAACGUUGUUGGAUCUGCAGGCCAGUAUAACGAACUUUUUAUAUUUAUUUAUUUUAAUUAUAGAUUGUAUGCAAUUAUUAUGCAUUAAUAUAAAGAUAAUUCAUGAUGAAUUAUUGUCAAUAAAACAGACAGAAGGGAUGAGACGUUUUCAAAAAGCUGAACUUGCAGGAGACCAGCUGCUUCUGGACCGGGACGUCCAGAAGCAGCUGGUGGUUCUGAGCUCUCUGUCGCCCCCUGGCGGUCAUUGUUGGACCUCACAAGUAAAGACGUUUAACAAGAUAUUCUGUAUGCAAAUGAGAAUAUACUUAAAAAGUCUUAAUAGGAGAUAUUUUGCAGGUUUAUAAAACAAAAACCGAAACAUGAAAGAAAAUGAAACAAUUUGAAUGAUGAGGUUAAACUUGUUUCUUAAUCUAACCCCAAAUCCAGAGGCUUUACUAAUGUAAGGCUUUUGUUUACUUCUUGUCCAUCUGUUGUCCUUCAAAAGCAGCUGGUGGGAAGUCAUUGAGGACAUUUACUCUCAUAUUUCACUGAAAUGCUUAAGUAUUUCCAUUUCCCCCAUACUUUUAAAAUUGAGAUUUGACAUUAAAAGAACAUAUAAGUUUAAAAAUAAAGCAUAUUAAAAAUGAAAGCCUAUUAUACACAAUAUGUGACCCAGACAAGCCCUCGGGUUGACCUUGUGACCUUUAGAGCACACAGCUGACUGUUUAUGAAAGAGUUCAAAUGAGCUCCAUCGACCAACUCACAGUAAAAUCCUUCUUUUGGGACAUUUUAUCAAACGACCAGUAGUUUUACUUCAGUAAUCUAUUUAGCUGAUAAUAAUUAUGUACAUUUAGAAGAUUAGGAAGGCAGGACUUUUACUUGUAAUUGAGUAUUUUUAGUUGUAUGUGUAGUUUAACCCGAGUGAAAGACGAUAAAGUGGAUGUUUAAUUCGGCACAAAUGAAACAUAAAUCAAGCUUUAGUGAUAUUGCAAGCAGACAACAAUAUAUUUGACUUCUUUGUUUGAUGAAACUUCAAUUUGUUGAACAGUUUUCACUAAAUGCGAAAUGGAACUGAGCCAUAAUUCAAGUGAAACCUUAGAGCAAGGCAACCUAAUAAUGGAAUGGAGCCGUAACCAAUUUUAUUAUUUAAAACUGUGAUUUUCAUGUUGUGGAAUGUCAAAAUAAAAUGUUUUAAAAGCCUCUUUCACUUUUUCUCUGUUUAAAUGUUGCAGCGAAGAGCUACAUGCUAAGUAUGAUGCUCGUGGUAUAAUAAUGAUUCACCUGUAUUCAAGUUGCUCUUUUAUGAGAAAUGAAGUCACAUCUUUAGACACAAAAACUAUUUUUCCACAUUCUUAUGUUAUUUCCCCCAAAACUAUAGUUCUGAAAACAAGAAUAAAGGAGAAGAAGGUGGAAGGUGACUGAUCAUGUCCUGGUCAUGGAAGAUAGCUCGAGACCUUGGAGGCCGAAGAGAGGACCGAGCAGUGAGCUGCUGCUCACACCAAAACACACACAACACCACAACACCAACCGGACCACAACAACACGCGCCAACUGGGCCACAACACCACAACACCAACCGGGCCACAACACCACGCCGCCCCGCGCUGCUGGACUGUGACAUUGAGAAGAAGAAAACAUACAAGAACCAGAGGAAGACGAGCCUCCAUACAGAAGCUCUCCGUCUGUUUGCAUGAUUAAUCUGCACUUCAUCCUCUUUCUGAUGGUUCACUUCUCUCUCUUCAGCUCUUAUUAUAUUUAUUUUGUAUUAUUUUUGCUCUUGUCUUGGUGACACACGUGAUCAGAACUCCUCAGAGAUCUACAGAAGUAGUCGAGACGCUACACGUCUGACUAAAGUGUUCUUUCAGUCGUUUAACCCUUGUGUUGCCUUCGGGUCAUUUUGACCCGAUUCAAUGUUUCACCCUCCUGUUACCUUUAUAUUUACUAACAUAUUUUACCCUUUGGGUUCAAUUUGACGCCAGCAAUUAAAACCUCCAGAAAAUUAUUAGAAUUAAUAUUGUUUUCCAAGUUUAAGUGUGAGGCACUUUAUGUUUGUUUGUUGACUACCGAAAGAACACCGACAUUAAACAUUGAAUAGGGUCAAAUUAAUCCGAAGGCGGGGGGAGGGUGUAAUAUUGAUUCGGGUCAAAAUGACCCAAAGGCAACACAAGGGUUAAAAGGUAAAAAAGAAAGAAGAAUAUUUCCUUAAAGCACCAAAGCAUUAAACUAUUUUAUUGACCAAGCUCCUGUAUGACGGCCCUCUAACUUCAGCCAGACUGGUUGCAGUCGUUCCAGCCCACAAUACUACAUCAUAUAAGGUCUUAUAUAAAGAUGUCAAAUCUGUUACAUGAAAUAUUGUGCUGUGUGUAAUUAUUCAUGAAUACAUCAUUUUCCUGACGCUA